UUAAGAUGUUAAAAAGAGGAACCUUAGUUGUUAAAGAAAUCCAAAUCCGCUAGAUGUAUCAAAGUGUUGAGAAAGCUUCUCCUAAAGUUAAGAGAAAAGAAAAGAAUGAUUAGAAAAGGGCUUAAAAGAUUCAUGAAUGCAAUGGGUAGAGUUAAGUUCUUAUAUUGGGAUUGGAGAUGGGAUUACCAUUAGAGCUUCAUUUGAUGUACUCUGGAUAGAUGGGAUCUUAUCUCUGUAUGCAUAGCUUGGGACUUACCUUUAGCAUUCUACUAAAGCUUAAUCAUUUUUUUAGAGAUCCCCUGUUACUGAAGCCUAUUCAGUAAGGGACCAUCUUUGUCUCUUGACCUUUUACUUUAGCCAAAUGAGUUCAUUAAUGAUGCAUUGCUUGAUUCACGUUCCAGAAUUAAUGAAUGUUAAAGGGAUUGGUAGAUUUGAAAACAUGUGUAGGUCGAGCAUAUGAGUCGGAUUGAUUGAUAAUGAGGCAUGGCUAACAUUUUAAGUAGAAUUCGAUCUUGCAGCUUAGAACUUUCAACUAGGACAUUGAUUUCAUCUGGUUUAUCUGGGGCUUUGGCUUUGAGUCCCCGCUUUCAAACCUCACCUCCAGCUUGUUCUUGAUUGUUUGCUUGAGGGCAAGCAAAGACUAAGUUUGGGGGAGUUGAUAAGUGUGUAUUUUGCAUGUUUUGAGCAUCCAUUUGUCAUCACUUUAGCAUCAUAUCAUCACUGUUUUAUACCAUUUCUCAUCAUUUGUCAUCACUUUACAUGUUUAGGAUACAUUUGCAUGCAUGUUGCAUAUUUGCGUUGAUUUCAGGUGAUUUGGAGCUGUUGACAAGCUAUCUGGAAGAAGCGGACCUGAUCAUGACAAAACCACUCAACCCAGAGGUCGAGUAGGAGCUUCAAGAUCUCAAGAGACCACUCGAACCCCAGGUCGAGUAGAAGACAUCACAACUUCACCUCAACACUCGACCACGAAGUCGAGCGUCUUCAUCUCCAUCACCUGACCAUCACUCGAUCACAUCACUCGACCCCGAGGUCGAGUGUCUUCAUCCCAUCACCUGACCAUCACUCGAUCACAUCACUCGACCCCGAGGUCGAGUGUCUUCAUCCCAUCACCUGACCAUCACUCGAUCCAUCACUCGACCCCGAGGCCGAGUGUCUUCACCUUCAUUGCCAGACCACUACUUGACCUCAUCACUCCACCUGGAGGUCGAGUAUCACCAUCACCACCACUCGACUGCAUACUCGAUGACAAGCUUCAGAGCCUUCUUCAUUCCGCACUCAACUAGACACUCGAGCACAAGGAAGAAAAGAAGACUCCAGCUGUUCACUCGACCUCCCACUCGACCACAUGGGUCGAGUACAGUUCUUAAUCUGUCCCAAUACUUCGUCGUUUUGAGUAUUAGGGUUUCAGAAUAUUUGGCUAUAAGUAGCAUGUACUUCACAUUUUCGA
rnacentral:sRNA from 1 species